rnacentral:lncRNA from 1 species
ACGGUGUUACUAGUUAGAUCGAGUCGUGAUACUCAUAGUUAUUAUUGUGAUUGUAGUUGAUUGAUUUGCUUGCAGGUUAUGACAUUAAGUCCUAAGUCUGGUUUAGGUACCAGAUUAGGCUUGAUGUGUAUUUCGUUAGUGUAGGCCUGACGUUGGCCUGUAUGUGUUUGAGUGAUUGCUUGUGAAGGGUGGUGGAUAUUAAAGCUAUGCGGUAUCAUUGGUUGGCCGAUCAUGUUCUUGUUUGAUUGUUGGUCG